rnacentral:rRNA from 1 species
GUGAGGAAUUUUCCGCAAUGGGCGAAAGCCUGACGGAGCAAUGCCGCGUGAAGGAUGAAGGCCUAUGGGUUGUAAACUUCUUUUCUCAGAAAAGAAUUAUGACGGUAUCUGAGGAAUAAGCAUCGGCUAACUCUGUGCCAGCAGCCGCGGUAAGACAGAGGAUGCAAGCGUUAUCCGGAAUGAUUGGGCGUAAAGCGUCUGUAGGUUGUUUAAAAAGUAUUCUGUCAAAGAUUAGGGCUUAACCCUAGAUAGGCAGAAUAAACUUUUAAGCUAGAGUUUGGUAGAGGCAGAGAGAAUUCCCGGUGGAGCGGUGAAAUGCGUAGAUAUCGGGAGGAACACCAAAGGCGAAGGCACUCUGCUGGGCCAAUACUAACACUGAGAGACGAAAGCGAGGGGAGCAAAUGGGAUUAGAAACCCGAGUAGUCC